UACGAAGGGGGCUAGCGUUGCUCGGAAUCACUGGGCGUAAAGCGCACGUAGGCGGAUCAUUAAGUCGGGGGUGAAAUCCUGGAGCUCAACUCCAGAACUGCCUUCGAUACUGAAGAUCUCGAGUCCGGGAGAGGUGAGUGGAACUCCGAGUGUAGAGGUGAAAUUCGUAGAUAUUCGGAAGAACACCAGUGGCGAAGGCGGCUCACUGGCCCGGUACUAACGCUGAGGUGCGAAAGCGUGGGGAGCGAACAGG
rnacentral:rRNA from 1 species